GCUUAUUUUAAAGUUUGAGCUUAUUGCAGUUAGAUGACCAUGUAACGAGGCUGGUUCUGGCCGGACCCAACUGAGAGUGCCAAUUCAGGACAAAUUGCUUAAAGCAGGGCAGUCACAGCCCAAGGCUGGGGUUUCUAUGCACACCAAGGCAAACCAAACCAGCCAAACAAAGAAGACUUUGGUUUUAC